rnacentral:lncRNA from 10 species
GAUCCACAGGUGGUUUAGCUAGAUGUUCUGGCCCAAGGUCUCAUGAAUUUGCAGUCAAGAUGUUGGCUGGGCUGUAGUCUGAAAGUUUGACUGGUGUUAGAGGAUCCACUUCCUAGAGGGCUCAUUCGUAGAGCUGCCUGUGUUUUCUCACAACAUGGCAACUGGCUUUCUCUAGAACAGGUGAUCCAAGAGAGAGACAGAAACCAUGAUCAUUCAGAGUGAUGUAACAUUACUUCUACUAUAUAAUGUUAGUCACACAGACAUUUCCCUGACAAUAUGUGGGAGGAGAUUACACAAGAGCAUGAAUACUGGGAAGCUAGCUGUCACAAUUUGGCCCCAAUGAUUGAUAGUUCUUGAUUUGCAAAAUAUAUUCAUCCCCUCCAAAAGCUCUCCAAAGCUCUCAUCCUAUGACACCAUUAGUUCAAGGUCUAGAAAUCUAAAUCAGUUCCAAUUGUGGAUGACACUCAUAGGUGUACUUAAGUACAGCUCCUCAAGAAGAGUUCUUUUUGAUCUGAAGACUCAUACACUAAAGACACAGUCUCUGCUUCCACAUGUAAUAGAAAAUGAAUAGGAUAAUAAAUGUGGACAUGUAUAUUUAAAAAGAGGGAAUAUUGGAGGUACAUAGGUUCACAGAAAUUCUGAAACCCACCUGGGCACAGAUUGGCAGUUGCUUGGUCAAGUUUCAAGGCCUAGAAUUCUCUUAGCUCUGCCUUCUGGGAUCUUGGAUCUACUCACUGAGUCACCCUUUCUUUUUCUUGUUUACACUUCUGCCUGCUUUCUGCCUAUAGAAGCUUGGAUGUCCCACAAGCUUCUUUCCAUUUGGUUCUCUCUGUGCCUUUCAGUCCAGGCUGGCCAUGUUUCUGCUAAUAGACUUCUCUUAAAAACUUUGUGGCUCACUUGUGAAUUUUGAGUUCACUCCAUCAGACAAAAGCAACAACCACACAUCUCGUCCCACAUAAACUCUGCCUCAAGCUUUUGCUGAUGAAAAUACCCUUAAACUUUUUAAAAACCUGUGAUGUUAUUCAGAGAUUUUCUGAGACACAUCGUUUGUCUGAUGAAAAUACUCUGAGGCACAACUUAAGAUCUUUCUGAGCUAUUAAAGGACUUUAUAACUACAGCCUCAACUUUAUGUUUUACUGGCAGUGCCCUAGAUUUGCUUUUUGCUCAGAGAUAUUCCCCAAUUUUAGCACAUUUGUCAUCUGCACAGGCUGGGAAUCUUCAAAUCCAGCAAGUUUUGACUUGUUUUUGUUUGUUUGUUUGUAAUAGAGUCUGUUUUUUGCUGUGUUGGCCAGGUGAUCUUGGACUCCUGGCUUCAAGCAUUCCUCCCACCUCAGCCUCCCAAAGUUCUGGGAUUUUAGGUAUAAGCCACCAUGCCCAGCCAUGGCUCCUUUUUGUUUAACAGUCCUUACUUUGAUGGUCUCUCUUCUCACACAUUUUACUAUCAGCAACAAGAAAAAAUACACAUGAAAUAUUUAACACUUGGCCGGCAAUCUCCUUUGCUAGAUCAAUGAGUUAAUUAGGCAUUUUUUCUACUUUGUACAUAUCUGUGGAUAACAAAUUUGCUAAACUUUCUGCCAUUAUGUAACAAGGAUCUCCUUCCCUCUAGUUUCCAAGAAGAGUUUUCUAAUCUGUUAAGAUGUCACCUGCAGCCUCCUCAAAGGUUAUCUAUUAUGCUUCUAUAAAAAAUUUCUUCAAAGCUCUUCAAACUUUCAUUAACACUCUCCUCCAAGUUCUACCUUCUGUUCACUGCCAGUUUUAAAACCACACUUACAUUUUAGGUUUUUGCUAACACCCCACUUCUGAGUACCAAAAUGUAUACUGAUUUUCUAUUGCUGCAUAAUAAACUGCCCCAAAAUACAACAUGCAAAGCAAUAAAUAUUCAUUAUCUCAUGUAGUGUCUGAAGGUCAAAAAUCCGGAAGCAGCAUAGCUGAGUGGUUCUGAUUCAUUGUCUCUUGUGAAGUUAUCAGUCAAACCAUCAGCUGAGACUGUAAUCAUCUGAUGUUUUAACUAGUACCAGAGGAUACACUUUCACAUGCUAUUGGCAGGACACUUUAGUUCUUCACUAGCUGUUUAGCAGAAUACCGCACUUCCUCACCACAUGUACCUCUUCAUAGAGCUUCCUGGCUUCCUCUAAAACAAGUAAUCCAAGAGAGAAGCAGAAGCCACCAUGGUUUUUUAUGCCGUUGUUGACCUAGCCCCCAAAGUGACAUAUUAUUACACAGAUAUGUAGCCAACCUGUGGGUCACUGAUACGGUUUGGAUGUGUGUCCCCUCCAAAUCUCAUGUUGAAAUGUGAUUCUCAGUGUUGGAAGUGGGGCUGGUGAUAGGUGUUUGGUUCAUGAGGGUAGAUCCCUUAUGAAUGGCUUGGUGCUGUCUUUGUGGCAAUAAGUGAGUUCUCACUAUCUGAGUUCACACAAGAGCUGGUUGUUUAAAAGAGCCUGUCAUCUCUUUUGCUCCCUUUCUCACCAUGUGAUAUGCUGCUCCCCUUCUCUUCUGCCAUGAAGAAAAGCUUCCUGAGGCCUUCACCAGAAGCAGAUGCUGGUGCCGUGCUUCUACAGCCUGCAGAACUGAAGGACUUUACAGCUUCUCUUUCGCAUAUCCAAAUUGCCAGCAUCACCGCUCUUGCACUCCAAGCCAUUAUUAAGUAAAGUAAAGAACACAAACACUGUGAUACUGCUACACUUGAUCUGAUAACCAAGAAGUCUACUAAGUGACUAACAGAAGAGAAGACAUGGAGAAGAGGAGGGAGUAGUUGUGACCGUGGAGGCAGAGAAUGGAGUAAUGUGAUCAUAAAUCAAGGAAUGCUGACAGCCACUAAAGCUGGAGAAGGCCAAGGACAGAUAUUCAAUCCUCCCGUAGAAGUACAGCCCUGCUAAUGCAUUGAUUUUGGACUUCUGGCCUCAGAACUGUAAGAGAAUAAAUUUCUAUUGUUUUAAGCCUUCAGUUUGUGGUAGUUUGUUACAGAAACCCUGUAAAGUUAAUACACAGAGUUCAAAGAGAAUCCGGUAAUAUCUCUAAAAGACUCGUGUAUUAGUCAGGAUUCUCCAGAGAAGCAAAGCCAAUAGAAUGAUACAUGUUGUUAAAGCAAAUUAAAAUGGAGACCAUGCCUGAAGAAUCUCUGUGCAGAGAAACCCAGUUAGGCCUCAUAAGUUAACCUUACUUGAUUUGCAAACAUAAUCUAAAAGUUAACUGGAGCUAUUUCCGGUAAAUGAAUAUAACACAACUUAAGCUCAAUCAGUCAGAAGCAGCUUUAUAAUUAUGUAGCUAGGGACUUUCCAAGAGGAUGACCAAAG